rnacentral:rRNA from 1 species
GGGUUGUGAGGUUAAGCGACUAAGCGUACACGGUGGAUGCCCUGGCAGUCAGAGGCGAUGAAGGGCGUGCUAAUCUGCGAUAAGCGCCGGUAAGGUGAUAUGAACCGUUAUAACCGGCGAUACCCGAAUGGGGAAACCCAGUGUGAUUCGUCACACUAUCAUUAACUGAAUCCAUAGGUUAAUGAGGCGAACCGGGGGAACUGAAACAUCUAAGUACCCCGAGGAAAAGAAAUCAACCGAGAUUCCCCCAGUAGCGGCGAGCGAACGGGGAGGAGCCCAGAGCCUGAAUCAGCAUGUGUGUUAGUGGAAGCGUCUGGAAAGGCGCGCGAUACAGGGUGACAGCCCCGUACACAAAAGCGCAUGUGCUGUGAGCUCGAUGAGUAGGGCGGGACACGUGGUAUCCUGUCUGAAUAUGGGGGGACCAUCCUCCAAGGCUAAAUACUCCUGACUGACCGAUAGUGAACCAGUACCGUGAGGGAAAGGCGAAAAGAACCCCGGCGAGGGGAGUGAAAAAGAACCUGAAACCGUGUACGUACAAGCAGUGGGAGCACCCUUUGGGUGUGACUGCGUACCUUUUGUAUAAUGGGUCAGCGACUUAUAUUCUGUAGCAAGGUUAACCGAAUAGGGGAGCCGGAGGGAAACCGAGUCUUAACCGGGCGUUAAGUUGCAGGGUAUAGACCCGAAACCCGGUGAUCUAGCCAUGGGCAGGUUGAAGGUUGGGUAACACUAACUGGAGGACCGAACCGACUAAUGUUGAAAAAUUAGCGGAUGACCUGUGGCUGGGGGUGAAAGGCCAAUCAAACCGGGAGAUAGCUGGUUCUCCCCGAAAGCUAUUUAGGUAGCGCCUCGUGAAUUCAUCUCCGGGGGUAGAGCACUGUUUCGGCUAGGGGGCCAUCCCGGCUUACCAACCCGAUGCAAACUGCGAAUACCGGAGAAUGUUAUCACGGGAGACACACGGCGGGUGCUAACGUCCGUCGUGAAGAGGGAAACAACCCAGACCGCCAGCUAAGGUCCCAAAGUCAUGGUUAAGUGGGAAACGAUGUGGGAAGGCCCAGACAGCCAGGAUGUUGGCUUAGAAGCAGCCAUCAUUUAAAGAAAGCGUAAUAGCUCACUGGUCGAGUCGGCCUGCGCGGAAGAUGUAACGGGGCUAAACCAUGCACCGAAGCUGCGGCAGCGACACUGUGUGUUGUUGGGUAGGGGAGCGUUCUGUAAGCCUGCGAAGGUGGCCUGUGAGGG